ensembl:lncRNA
ACACUAACAGACACGCUAACUUGAACUAACAUACGCUAACAGACACAUUAACAUUUACUGACAUACACUAACACACACGCUAACUUGAACUAACAUACGCUAACAGACACACUAACAUUUACUGACAUACACUAACACACACGCUAACUUGAACUAACAUACGCUAACAGACACACUAACAUUUACUGACAUACACUAACACACACGCUAACUUGAACUAACAUACGCUAACAGACACACUAACAUACACUGACCUACGGUAACAGACACACUAACUUGAACUAACAUACGCUAACAGACACACUAACUUGAACUAACAUAAGCUAACAGACACGCUAACUUGAACUAACAUAAGCUAACAGAUACGCUAACUUGAACUAACAUAAGCUUACAGAUACGCUAACUUGAACUAACAUAAACUAACAGUCAAGCUAACUUAAACUAACAUACGCUAACAGACACGAAUAUUCCCCUAUAUUCUGUCCAUUCUGCACUUUCUCUAAAGUGAUAGCUGGAGGGGGGUUACACUAACAUGCUAACAUGCACGCUAACAUGCACUAACAUACAGUUUCCACCUCAGAACAUGCUUUAAUAUGCACCUGCGUUUGAUUCUAGUUCAUGAAAAAAAGGGCAAACUAUCUAUUUCGUUACGCACGUAUUCAGAGAUUGGGGUUAACUCAAUUGUACAAUCAAUACAGUUAUAAAAUUACUUCAGGAAAGCGCUGACUGAUGAUAUAACUCAGCACCUGGAAUUUUCCCUGAAGCAGUUUGUUUCAUAAUCAGCUUGGCAACAGGUUACCAUUCGACAAGGCACCAUAAACCUUAAACCCAUAGACAAGCUGCCUUUGUUUUUAUAGACCUCCACUGCUGUUGGGGCCUGGGGGGUUUACGGCUCCAUGCAAAAGCGGCAAUUAAACCAAGAAUUUUGAUAAUGGCAGUCAAAAUAAAAACAUAGCUUCAAGCAGUGGUCUCAACUUGAGGUUCAAUUUAUCAAAAGUCUGACUGAUUCAAACGUGACAUUAAGAGAGAGAUUUGUAAAGAGAAACUGGACAAUCAUAGUGAAACUUUUUUAUUUUCAUUAAAUAUAGAACUUUAGUGUUUCACAUCAGUCUCACCACCUUAUAGGAGCUGAUGGAGACCAGAAACGGAGCAAAAAGAGAAUGAAUAUUGGACCGACGACCUCAGGUGACUCGAAACACGACUGAAACCAACGGGUCUGCAGCUGUGACCCAGAGGUCACGACCUCCACUUAUGUGUUGAGUGUUUCUUCUUCCUGGCUCCUGCUUCAAGCUCCCCGUCCGACAAGUGUGUGUGUGUGUGUGUGUUAUGCAAAUCUGCCAUUAAGGCCAAACGCUGCAGUGAAUGAAGGAAUGUCGUCGUAGCAGUAGCAGAUAGUCCGGUACAGAGGGGAUGGUAGGGGGUUGGUUGGGCUGAAAGGGGAAGGAUUGUGGCAGGAAGGUUGUGUGUGUGUGUGUGUGUGUGUGUGUGUGUGUGUGUGUGUGUGUGUGUGUGUGUGUGUGUGCGUGCUUGCCAGGCUGCGCCGCUCCUCCAUCUUGACCUGUGUGUACACGCCGAGCCUUAAAGGGCCCAAAAAACAGGCCUUGACCUGCAGAGCAAAUAAAUCUUCUCCGGGGGGGUUACAGCUUCAAUUUCACCUUUCACUUACUGACACUCUCUCUCUCUCCCCUUGUCUCACACACGCACACAGAGCACACACAGGCGUGUUUGUUGCGUGUCAGUAGGGAGACGUGUGCUGUGCAGAGGACCCAGCUUUCACAGCUCGGACGGCCUGAAAAAAAUCACUUUUUAAAGAGAAGAAAAAGAAGCUGUGCAGCGUGCUUACACAGCUGCCCCGCUCAAUAAACGGCAAACAGCGAGCGAGG